CCUCCACUACCGGACACGUUUUUUGA
rnacentral:piRNA from 1 species